CUACGGGAGGCAGCAGUGGGGAAUAUUGCACAAUGGGCGCAAGCCUGAUGCAGCCAUGCCGCGUGUAUGAAGAAGGCCUUCGGGUUGUAAAGUACUUUCAGCGGGGAGGAAGGUGUUGUGGUUAAUAACCACAGCAAUUGACGUUACCCGCAGAAGAAGCACCGGCUAACUCCGUGCCAGCAGCCGCGGUAAUA
rnacentral:rRNA from 1 species